CAGUGGUGUAGUCUACGUGAUACGCAGGUAUACGCCGUAUACCCACUAGAAAAGGUGACAAAUUUCCACUAAAAUAGUGAUUAAAAUAUGCAUAAA